AGCAAUGAGAUGAAAGUAGAAUUUUAAUUAAAAAUAUGAAUAUUAGAAACAUGACUAAAUUGAAAUCAGUCUUCACACUUUUUAUUCUAAAUUAUGUUUGAAAUAAUAAUCAAAUCAAUAUUUUAAGCCAGUAAACUUGUACAAAAGGUUAUAAAGAAAUAACUUAGUAUUACCGAGAGAUCUGUGUUCUCUCUACUUUACCAGUAAGCUUUGGAAAAUUCUAUUCAAAACAAUUUCACAUUUUACAUUUGCAUAUAAUUUAAAGAUGUUUUCUUUUUUCAAGUCAAACUGAGCGAUUGAUAGUUUAUA
rnacentral:lncRNA from 1 species